GCUGACACAUCCCUGCCAAUCUCCGGCAGACCCUCCCUCCCAGACCCUCCCACCUCCUGGACAGCAUCCAUGUUGAAGCUGCUUCAACAUGGAUGCUGUCCAGGAAGUAGGAGGGUCUGGGAGGGAGGGUCUGCUGGAGAUUGGCCAGGAUGUGUCAG